rnacentral:pre_miRNA from 1 species
AAUACACGUUGCCGUUAGACUUUUAACCACAUGUUUGACCAUUUGUCCUAUUCAAAAAAUUUAUACAAAUAUUAUUUAUUUUGUUAUGAAUUGGUUUAUUACUAUUGAUAUUUUAAACAUGACUUGUAUUUUUAUAUAUUUGCAUAAAUUUUUUUAAAUAAGACGAAUGGUCAAACAUGUGAUAAAAAGUCAACGGCGAUAUGUAUU